CCUACGGGUGGCAGCAGUGAGGAAUAUUGGUCAAUGGGCGAGAGCCUGAACCAGCCAAGUCGCGUGAGGGAAGACGGUCCUAUGGAUUGUAAACCUCUUUUGCCGGGGAGCAAAAGACGCCACGCGUGGCGUUCUGAGAGUACCCGAAGAAAAAGCAUCGGCUAACUCCGUGCCAGCAGCCGCGGUAAUACGGGGGAUGCGAGCGUUAUCCGGAUUUAUUGGGUUUAAAGGGUGCGCAGGCGGAAGAUCAAGUCAGCGGUAAAAUUGAGAGGCCAAACCUCUUCGAGCCGUUGAAACUGGUUUUCUUGAGUGAGCGAGAGGUAUGCGGAAUGCGUGGUGUAGCGGUGAAAUGCAUAGAUAUCACGCAGAACUCCGAUUGCGAAGGCAGCAUACCGGCGCUCAACUGACGCUCAUGCACGAAAGUGUGGGUAUCGAACAGGAUUAGAUACCCCGGUAGUC
rnacentral:rRNA from 1 species